rnacentral:rRNA from 2 species
CCCUAGUAACUGCGAGUGAAGCGGGAAAAGCUCAAAUUUAAAAUCUGGCAGGCUCUGUCUGUCCGAGUUGUAAUCUAGAGAAGUGUUAUCCGCGCUGGACCGUGUACAAGUCUCCUGGAAUGGAGCGUCACAGAGGGUGAGAAUCCCGUCUUUGACACGGACUACCAGUGCUUUGUGAUGCGCUCUCAAAGAGUCGAGUUGUUUGGGAAUGCAGCUCAAAAUGGGUGGUAAAUUCCAUCUAAAGCUAAAUAUUGGCGAGAGACCGAUAGCGAACAAGUACCGUGAGGGAAAGAUGAAAAGAACUUUGGAAAGAGAGUUAAACAGUACGUGAAAUUGUUGAAAGGGAAACGCUUGAAGUCAGUCGCGUUGGCUAGGGAUCAACCAGGUUUCUACUUGGCGUACUUCCUAGUCUACGGGUCAGCAUCAGUUUUGACCAUUGGAUAAAGGUCAGGGGAAUGUGGCAUCUCCGGAUGUGUUAUAGCCCUUGAUUGUAUACAGUGGUUGGGACUGAGGAACUCAGCACGCCGAAAGGCCGGGGCUUUGCUCACGUUCGUGCUUAGGAUGCUGGCAUAAUGGCUUUAAUCGACCCGUCUUGAAACACGGACCAAGGAGUCUAACAUGCCUGCGAGUGUUUGGGUGGAAAACCCGAGCGCGUAAUGAAAGUGAAAGUUGAGAUCUCUGUCGUGGAGAGCAUCGACGCCCGGUCCAGACCUUUUGUGACGGUGCCGCGGUAGAGCAUGUAUGUUGGGACCCGAAAGAUGGUGAACUAUGCCUGAAUAGGGUGAAGCCAGAGGAAACUCUGGUGGAGGCUCGUAGCGAUUCUGACGUGCAAAUCGAUCGUCGAAUUUGGGUAUAGGGG